rnacentral:rRNA from 1 species
AUUAAUUCGAUGCAACGCGAAGAACCUUACAAGCUUGACAUACACCGGUAACGCCCAGAGAUGGGUGCCCCUUUGUGGUCGGUGUACAGGUGGUGCAUGGUUGUCGUCAGCUCGUGUCGUGAGAUGUUGGGUUAAGUCCCGCAACGAGCGCAACCCUCGUCCUAUGUUGCCAGCGGGUCAUGCCGGGGACUCAUGGGAGACUGCCGGGGUCAACUCGGAGGAAGGUGGGAUGACGUCAAAUCAUCAUGCCCCUUAUGUCUUGGGCUUCACGCAUGCUACAAUGGCCGGUACAAAGGGCUGCGAUACCGCGAGGUGGAGCGAAUCCCAGAAAGCCGGUCUCAGUUCGGAUUGGGGUCUGCAACUCGACCCCAUGAAGUCGGAGUCGCUAGUAAUCGCAGAUCAGCAACGCUGCGGUGAAUACGUUCCCGGGCCUU